CCUACGGGCGGCUGCAGUGGGGAAUAUUGGACAAUGGGGGCAACCCUGGUCCAGCCAUGCCGCGUGUGUGAAGAAGGCCCUCGGGUUGUAAAGCACUUUCAGUGAGGAAGAACGCCUGGUGGUUAAUACCCAUCAGGAAAGACAUCACUCACAGAAGAAGCACCGGCUAACUCCGUGCCAGCAGCCGCGGUAAUACGGAGGGUGCGAGCGUUAAUCGGAAUUACUGGGCGUAAAGCGCGCGUAGGUGGCUUGAUAAGCCGGUUGUGAAAGCCCCGGGCUCAACCUGGGAACGGCAUCCGGAACUGUCAAGCUAGAGUGCAGGAGAGGAAGGUAGAAUUCCCGGUGUAGCGGUGAAAUGCGUAGAGAUCGGGAGGAAUACCAGUGGCGAAGGCGGCCUUCUGGACUGAAACUGACACUGAGGUGCGAAAGCGUGGGUAGCAAACAGGAUUAGAUACCCUUGUAGUC
rnacentral:rRNA from 1 species